GACACAGUAGCACACGGUGUGCAUCUCCUACCAUUAGCAUGGUCCACAUGUUUGGAGAAGUCCUUGGUUCAAAUCCAGGCUGGGUCA